rnacentral:snoRNA from 1 species
UUUCCUGAUGAUUCCAUUUUUAUUAAUAACUUUCGUUCUACCGAAUUACAUCAAACGAUGUUGAGGAGACUAUUUUCCCUGAUU